AUACGGAGGAUCCGAGCGUUAUCCGGAUUUAUUGGGUUUAAAGGGUGCGCAGGCGGCCAUUUAAGUCAGCGGUUAAAUCGUGGGGCUCAACCCCAUUCUGCCGUUGAUACUGGGUGGCUUGAUUGCGGUCGAGGUUGGCGGAAUUCGUUGUGUAGCGGGUAAAUGCAUAGAUAUGACGAAGAACACCGAUUGCGUAGGCAGCUGGCCAGACCGCAAAUGACGCUCAUGCACGAAAGUGCGGGGAUCGAACAGGAUUAGAUUCCCUGGUAGUCCGCACAGUAAACGAUGAAUACUUGUUUUCGGCGAUAUAAUGUCGGAGGCAAAGCGAAAGCGAUAAGUAUUCCACCUGGGGAGUACGCCGGCAACGGUGAAACUCAAAGGAAUCGACGGGG
rnacentral:rRNA from 1 species